rnacentral:lncRNA from 1 species
AUGUACAUGAUAAAGCUAACCGCGCGCGUUGUGCCGCUACUGGAUACUCUCGACUAUAAGUGUGCAGCAGUGUGAUAACUUCAAAGGAGUGUUUGUGGAUGCUGAGCCAUCUGAGCUGAAUGAAAUUUUGCGUACUUUCGUUAUCGUAAACAAAAAACGUAUUCAAACUGCCACACCAAAAACCAAAGAACAAUCAAUUCAAGUGUGUUACAUUGAUUUUUAAGUGCACCAAAGUGAACAUAGUUCGGUAUGUUGAGCAACAAAGGCUUGGCCAUAGUUUUUUUGAGCAUGCACGAGGUAUGAUGCACAAUUGUUACUUUAAAAAGGGGAAAACGGUGGCCGAGCAAUAUUACUCAGUACCAAAGAUCGUAUUUGAAGAAGAUAAAAGCGCUGAUCUCCAUUGUAAAAACCCACUGCUGGCUGCGGAUGGAGACAUAAAAAUGAAAAUUUGAAAAUUUGCCUACGAAUAGCUACUCAUCCAGCCUGCUUUCCAAAGUCAGCUCCCUCGAACUACUUCUUGUUUCCAAACCUGCAAAAAUCACUAGGCUUGAAAAGAUUCCUAUCAAAAAAAGAGGACAACGCUGAAACAAGUACCUAUUUUACAGGCGGCCUUAAUAAUCUAUUAUUUGAACGGAAAUUUGCUCGAUAUACGAUUUUCACUAUGUUGAGAAACAAAAGUCUCAGGGAAGCAGUGUAUGGAGCGCCUGCAUUGAGGAAAUUGUUUAUGAGACUACUACUGCGUUUCGAGAUAAAAUUGGAGUGGCUUAAGGAUCUGCCGGACCGCCAUAGUCACAAUAAUGGCAACUAAGAAGUAUACAAUAUGUCACACAUAACCUGCCGUUGUUGUUUAUGUUGUCGUAGCUGCAAAUUAUUUCCCGAUUUGGUUUUCGGGGAAUAUUAUGGAGCGACAGUCCUUGGGCGGAUAAAAAUCUAGGUCGUUCCGGUAUAAGCACCCGACUGUUGCGGGAAGUAUUGGGUUUUAGUCGCCUUUUACGACAGGCCUGCCUUAUCACGCGUAAAUUCUUGAGCCCCUAACCUGCAGGAGGUUGUGUCAAAUCGUCAUUGCUAAGAGUGUACAUGCAGAAAAUAUCUUCUCCGCACUUAUAAAGAGCAAGGCUCAGAUAUUUAGAUGCUACUACAAAGGAGUAGCAGCCUAUCAGUGCAACCUAACCUAACUUAGCCUUAAACCCACCAACUAACCACAAUAUCCUCACGCAAUGUGCGGCGCUCUCAAUUCGUAGAUGAGUUAAUUUCUCGAAAGAAAGCUCCAUAUUUGUGACCAACAUUUGUCUUUAAACUCUUAAAUCUUCAACAUUGUUUGUUGGCAUACUUUUUGUGCGCCCCACAGCUGGGCAACCGCUUAAAUUCGACACUCAAGUAUUGUCUUGGCCUACAUUCGCUCAAACGAGUAAUCAUUAAUUACAAAUUAACGCCGACUUUGAUGGCGAGCGACACAAGUACGCAGGCGGGCAUUGAAGUCUACAAAUUACAGACAUACGAAUGCAGAUGUACAUAGAUAUGUACAUAGAUAGCGAGUGAGCUAAGCGAUGCUGCGCUUACAAAAUGACACAAAUAGCACUUAGCAGAUUACAAAAUUACCGUUAUGGGAAUAUUAUCCUCACAGCCUCUCAGCCUUACACCAAGCACCAUCGUUUACAUAACCUCAAACUCAAGCCGUGGGCGACAAGUGCAUGCGCUUAGUGCGCGUUUGACAUAUUCAAGUGCCACUUAAUUAAUCCCAAAACGCUAAUUUUAACUGAGGCAAAAUAUGUAUGUGUGUCGCGCGAUGUCAAGCAGCGUAUGCUCGCAAGUUUAUUUUACAUGCUUGAAUGGGCAUGUAUGCCUGUGUGUGUGCGUGUGAGUGUGCAAGACAAUGCGUGUGGGCCUGCAGCUCUCGUCGAGGUGACUCUUUAAUAAUGCGCAAAAUUCGACUUUACCACCUUUGGAUGAUAUCAAAUGAAAAUUUUCGCACGUAAACUUCUUACCGCUAAUUUCGCGGCGCAGCGUUGCAUUUUACAUACAAACUACUUUUACAUAUAUUCGUCUGUGUAUACCUGUACAUGAGAAUAUUGUUAAUGAGUUUUGGAAGUUUAGCUAUUUAAACAUUUUAGAAGUCAAAAAAUUCAGCCUUAGUUUGCAGAGAAAAUUCAUAAUAUAAAUACGAGUACAUUUAGAUAUGUAUGUAUGUAUGUAAGUGCUUAGUGAAAAAUUUUCCUCAGUUUUACUUGCUUCUCGAUGUCAACAAAAUUCCAAUUGUUUUUUUUUUAUUUCUAAUAAACUCAACAAUAAAAAUAAAAUAAAAUAAAAAUACUUUAUGAAAAUAAUCAGCAAAACCUCUUUUUGUUUGGAGUCGUCUCUUAAAUACUCGUCUAUUUCCGCGAGAUUUUGGAGCAUAUAUCAGAGACAUGAUGCUCAAAACUCUUUAAAAUCAUUUGAUUUUAUAUGGACACCAAACUGCCAACAAGCAUUUUCACACUAGACAAUCAAAUAUUACAAGAGCAGUUUGAGAGGCUUGUGCUUUUUGUGUAAAUAUACAUAAAUGCGACACUGCUCACGUCAGCUAGUUUGCGUUUGACAGCCAAAGAAAAAAGUGAAAUACCUCAUGGAUUUUAACAAAAAAUGGGGAAAAGUGAAAUAAUGUGGAAUAUUGAACAAAAGCAGUAUUGCACAUUGAUUAUUCCUGACGUAAAUAGCAAGAUCUUCAACUAAGCUUCCAUACACAUUGAUUUCCACUAAAUAUUAAACCACGAAAGUCAAUGUAAUCUUCUUUUCACCACUUGGUUUUGUAUGGUUUAAGAUGUGACGGGGCAUAGGUUUAUGGAUAGUACUUCGAAACUAUUACUCAAUUACAGAAGAGGAUGCAUUCUAGCUCGCCAUGGGUUAAAAAAGCGCAUUCGCAUGUGAAGUUUAUGCUCACUGUGUACAUCGAUUUCAAUGGCAUAGUGCGUCAUGAAGUCCUACCAGAUGAAACAGUCAAAAAGGAGUACUAUAAGUUCAAUGACAUUUACGUGAAACAAUCCAAAAAAAAAAAAACGCCUGAAAAACAAGCUCAUGGCAUUUGCAUUAUGAUAAUACGGUUGUUCAAAUUUCAUUGCUUGACUUGACUUUUUGGAAAAAAAUACAAUAAAAUGAGCCAGCCUUCAAAUUCGUUUGAUUUAACUCCGUGUGACUUUUUCCUAGUUCCAAAAAAAAAGGAGAAUCUUAAGGAUGUUUCGGAGAUUGAAAGAAAAGCUGGAAAUAUAUUAUAUAAUAUCUUCCUGAGAACAUUUUGGAGGCAACAACAGCAAAUUUUGACGAAUAAUAAAGUGUUUUAUUUAAAAAAAUUGAAUUUUAACUUUUGACUUAUAAACUUAUACAAAGAUUCAUUACUAACAAUCGAAAAUUGAACAUAGAAAUAUUACAAAUCUGCGCUUCUCUGGUUCUUUCUCU